rnacentral:rRNA from 1 species
UACGGAGGGUGCAAGCGUUAUCCGGAUUCACUGGGCUUAAAGGGUGCGUAGGUGGGCAGUUAAGUCAGUGGUGAAAUCCCCGAGCUUAACUUGGGAACUGCUAUUGAUACUAUUUGUCUUGAAUACUGUGGAGGUUAGCGGAAUAUGUCAUGUAGCGGUGAAAUGCUUAGAUAUGACAUAGAACACCAAUUGCGAAGGCAGCUGGCUACACAAAUAUUGACACUGAUGCACGAAAGCGUGGGGAGCGAACAGG